rnacentral:rRNA from 1 species
GAUGAACGCUGGCGGCGUGCCUAAUACAUGCAAGUCGAGCGAACGGAUAAGGAGCUUGCUCCUUUGAAGUUAGCGGCGGACGGGUGAGUAACACGUGGGUAACCUACCUAUAAGACUGGAAUAACUUCGGGAAACCGGAGCUAAUGCCGGAUAACAUUUGGAACUGCAUGGUUCUAAAGUAAAAGAUGGUAUUGCUAUAACUUAUAGAUGGACCCGCGCCGUAUUAGCUAGUUGGUAAGGUAACGGCUUACCAAGGCAACGAUACGUAGCCGACCUGAGAGGGUGAUCGGCCACACUGGAACUGAGACACGGUCCAGACUCCUACGGGAGGCAGCAGUAGGGAAUCUUCCGCAAUGGACGAAAGUCUGACGGAGCAACGCCGCGUGAGUGAUGAAGGUUUUCGGAUCGUAAAACUCUGUUAUUAGGGAAGAACAAAUGUGUAAGUAACUGUGCACAUCUUGACGGUACCUAAUCAGAAAGCCACGGCUAACUACGUGCCAGCAGCCGCCGUAA